GCCGUAUUCCCAUAAUGGUAUUGGAAAUGCUUGCUAAGCAUUCAGUCGGAAACGACUUGGAGGUUCGACUCCUCCAUACGGCG
rnacentral:tRNA from 1 species